rnacentral:rRNA from 1 species
GAUGAACGCUGGCGGCGUGCCUAACACAUGCAAGUCGAACGAAGCACUGUCGAAUGAGGAUUCGUCUGAAUUUGGCUUUGACUUAGUGGCGGACGGGUGAGUAACACGUGGAGAACCUGCCUCUUACCGGGGGACAGCAGUUGGAAACGACUGAUAAUACCGCAUAAGCGCACGAGACCGCAUGGUCCUGUGUGAAAAGAUUUAUCGGUAAGAGAUGGCUCCGCGUCUGAUUAGCCAGUUGGCGGGGUAACGGCCCGACCCAAAGCGACGAUCAGUAGCCGGCCUGAGAGGGUGAACGGCCACAUUGGGACUGAGACACGGCCCAGACUCCUACGGGAGGCAGCAGUGGGGGAUAUUGCACAAUGGAGG